UAUUUUCAGUUCAUGCAACCUUUUCUCCUUUUCUCUUCUUUGUUCUUCUUCAAUUCUUCUGGGUCCUUUUUCUUGGCCGAUUUGCCAUUCCCUUUCUUGUCUCCUUUGCUCCUUUUUCUUCUCCUUCGAUCACAAUAUAAUCAAUAUGUUGGUUUUUCCUUUUGCUGAGAUUUUUAAGCAUAUUACACCUUAUAAUCAUUCUAUUUCUUUUCCGACUGAAACAUCAAUUAAGCACCAUUGAGAAGCAUGUGCUUCUAUAAAGAUUCGAGUUCUUUAUACCCUUACUGCUGUGAGUCUGUGGAUUGCUCUUUAUCCUAUUGUGUUUGUACUUCUACCGUUGUUGUAUUCCCUUUUCUUGUUGUUGUGUGUUCGCUCUUAUUAUGUGUUCAUCUAUUCUUGUAUUUUAAUUUUCAAUUGUUAAUCGUUUUCUUUCAUUUUUAUUUUGUAAUUGCAUGUUGAAAUAUGAGUUACAUUGUUG
rnacentral:lncRNA from 1 species